AUGGAUUUUUUGUUUCUUUACUGGCUUCAUAUAAUUCUGAAAACACAAGUUUUCUUGAAGCCUCUUGCUCAUAUCUCUCAUCAAAGGGUGCUAUUCUAUAGAGGAAAUUUCAAUCAUUCGAGACAAUGA
rnacentral:rRNA from 1 species